CAAAUACUCCCUUUGUUCCAAAUUAGUUGAUUUGAACUUGUCUAAAUAUGGAUGUAUCUGUACUUGUUUAUUGUCUAGAUAUAUCCGUGUCUAGAUAAAUGUGGGUCAAGUAAUUUGUAACGGAGGGAGUAUAAG
rfam:Triticum aestivum genome assembly, contig: Triticum_aestivum_CS42_TGACv1_scaffold_556651_7AL